AGUGAUUGCAACUGCUUUAAAUUCCUUUUAACAACAGAGCUUCCUCAUCCUGUCUCAAAAAUUCCAUCUGAAAAUAGCUUAUUCUCUUCUAAGAUUAAGUGAAGUUUCAGAACUCUGUUCUGGUGAUUGGAAAUCUUCCAAUUUCCAGUCUAAACUUAUUUGCAACUAUUUGAUAGUUAUUUUUUACCUGUCUCUCUCUAUGACAAUCUUUCCUCAUCCCCAGAUUUAUAUAUUCACAUCUCGUCAGUCAGCUUUUUUCUUGUUUCAUAAACUAAAUUCUGCUUUCACAAGAGAUCUCUCUCUUACUGAGAUCUUAUGAGAGAUCUCUUGUGAAAGCAGAACUCCAAUAGGGAACUCAAUUCACUUGUUCUUCCUGUGAAGUUUUUUCUGCAUCUCUGUUGAUUCCAUUUAUCUUUCUUCAGCACUGACCACAAGAACUACCCAUGUUACAGAUUUUUCUUUUCUUACCAAUAUAAUAUACACUUAGGUAUCCUGAUGUAUGGGAACUGCUGAAUCACAGCCUGAACCUCACUGAUUGAUCACCUGCGGUGAGCAAUGAGUCAGCCACGAGAGCCUGGCUCCACUUCUCCUAGAACCCAUUUAAGAGCUGGCUACCAGCUCUUAAAUCAAAGAGAUCAAGGGAUCUCUUCUGGGGAUUCCUCCUCUGGAGUUUUGCAGCAAGCCCAGGACACAGGUGUAUAAACAUUUAAAGUAUUGUGAGACUUCAGCAUUGCAAUAUGAAGAAAAGGCAAGAGAACAUCAAGUACCUUGGCAACACAUCUUUGUUGUAUGCCACCAGCAGCUGAAGACCACUAAGCAAACUGAAGAUCAAACUUUCCAGAUAGAGACUAAGGAAGAGGAAAAAUUAGAGACUCAAAGAGGAAAACAAUGUGGGAUCAUAGUUUCAAGGAGGGAUGACUGGGUUCAGGGGGCUGUUCCAUUUGGGUUUGCAAAUGAUAAAGAAAAAUCCAAGUUUUUUCUCUAUCGCACUGCUGUAUUUGUAGAAACAUUAAGAAAAGGUAUGAACUGAGCAAGUGCAGAGAAUAGUUGUAGGGAGAGCAUAAAACACAUCUGUGAUGUGUAAAACUGGUGUGCAAAGCAGAUGACUGCCACUUCACCUAUCUGUACACAGUGUGCUGCUCACUGGCUCCCUCAGUGCCAACACAGGCACUUGGUUCAGUGGGAUGAGGGAAGUGCUGCGUGGGGACAGAUCUACCAAGCAUCUCUGUCACUGACUUUGAGAAAGAGGAAAUGAGAGAGAGCUUACGAAUCAUGAUGGAAGCAUUUCUUCCUUUGUGAGAUGAAGACCUAUCUGAGGACUGUCUCUCCUGCUGCACAGGGUUUUCUCAGCCUUGUCUUCUACAUCUGUAUCUGACUGCCUGGCUUGACGUCCUAUGUUGUCACAUUGGCUCAUCUCUGUCUAUUCACAUGGAGCCGCAAAUCAAGUAAGACUUACCCUAUAGAAGCCAGGGCUAACAAGAAGGGACUAUUUUUAGCAUAAAAGUGAGUUUAACGAAUGGAUUGUGGCUAAGUCAGCAUGACAGCCUUGCAGACUAAUUAAUCGAGACACUGAAAGUGAUUUUGUAACAGAGCCAGAAUCACUAUUACUCGAGGACUUUAGAGCAGGCAGAUUUUGCAGUUCUGCUCUGUUGUCCAGCUGGAAAAGGCAGCCCAAAUAUACCUGAAAAUCUGUCUGAAGCACACUCCCUAAUGUAUCCUGCUCCAAGACAGACAAUACAAUAUUUCCUUGUUUUGUUUGGCUUCAUUCCUUGUUUGCACUAGCAUUAAUUAGAACCCUAAUUACUUCCAGCCUUUCCCUCUUUAUUAUUCAGAGAAGUGUCUAAUAACUGCUGAGAUGGAUCACUCUGUACUGAACUGAAGCACUCUGGUUUUAGAGAAGUAUUGAGACCCCUCUCUGUAGGGUGACAGGUGAAAAUGCUGGCACAAAAAAAAAAAAAAAAAAAGUGACAGAAAUCAAAACUAGAAUCAAGACGUGGUCCAUUGUUCAUGGUAUGAUUCCCGGCCAAGCCCUGUCCACACAUGUGCUUUAGGCAUUUAAUGGCUGCAAAGAUUUUUUUAAUUCUUAACAUGGAUCACUCAAAAGUAAACAUAUGAGGCUCUUCAUUAGUCUCUCCUCCAAAUUUUCCCAAAGAUCUUUUUGAAGAGCACAGUAUGUAAUUCCCUGGAAGAUAAUUUUAUAGCAAACAAUUUCACAAUCGGAGACUUUUCCCACAAAUGAACUGGCUUUGCCUGCAAGACAACUCCUUUAUGUUCUCUUUUUCUUUGAAGUUCUAUUCAAUUUGGCUGAACCCACAUGCCUUUAAAAAGAGAUUUUCUCCUGCAGACCAUCCUGUUUCAGGAAGUUCUCAGCUCACCAUUGCUGAGCUUCUCUAUUGAAAUUAUUAUCUCAGGAGCUGCUCCCUAGGGAAAUUACUGCAAUCCAAUCACCACAAAUGUAAAUUAAAUCAGCAUCCAAUAUAACCACAGCAGUUUGUGUUUCUCCCCACUCCUUUCUCCCUAUGAGGAAUCUAAUUCUGGAACUACUGGAAUAAUUUUCACUCCCCACCUCCCACGGGGAAAUAGCUGCAGUGAUUUUAGAGCAGAUACAGUCUGUAGGAAAUUACAGCACAGCUUAGCAGUGAUGCUGCGUUCUCUUUCUAGCUCACGCUAUUUCAUGACAUCAGCAGACUUCCUUCUGCUCAGCCUCCCAUCUUCUCUAUUUUUGUUCUGUGGACUUAAUGCAGGGAAUCCCACUGUCUGGGUGAGACCUUGUUUAUAGUGUCCCACACUUGAAAGUUGAAGUUCCUCUGUUGCAGGUUUGGGAAUCAUCAUAGGAGCUUAGAUGUAGAGCCAGUUGACAAAACGUUCAGCAGCGCACUUGACCAGCAUGGGCCCUGCUCCAUCUCACAGCUAGGUAAAAGGUAUAGUUCAGGUUGGAAUACUGAAACAUUAACUCAGAAAAGCACCAGGUUCCACACAGUAGCAGUCAAUAAACCAAGGAAAGGGGAGGGACAGUUGUGCAGAAGCUGAAGUACUGAUGAAGAAAGUCAAAAGCCUUUGAAAUUAAAUAUCAUAAGAACAAAAACACCUGGGUUACCAAAAUUUUCAUCUGCUUCCAUCUGUCUUUAUCCAAGAGCAAACUCAGCUCACCAUAGCAAACAUGUGCGUGAGAGUCUAGUAACUCAGAUAGCAAACAAAUCAGUGAAAUGCCUCCAGCUGUGUUCUUGGAGCCGCUGAAGAGUCUGCAUCAUAUUUCCUGAAAAAGUCAAUGCUAGAACAAAGUCCUCUGAGUGCCCCAAUAAGGUAAUUUAGCAAGCAUCAGGUACUAUGCAGAAAUGUGAUGGCCCUUUCUUAGCAUAAGUGGUAAGUGAUGUCCAUAAGACCUGCAAUUAUAAAACCUGGGAUUACAAAUAACACUUCACACUGAAGAGCUUUCCUAUAUUAUUAUUUAUAGGAAAAAAAAACAAACACUCUUUAACAUCAAAAAUGUUAACCUAAAAAUGAAUAAUGUUAAUAUAGUUGCUUCAAACAUUAAGAGAAUCCUUGCAUGAGUUACUCUGGAUAUGUACAGUCAAGAUUUAACACUUGCAGCAAUAUCUCAAAUCACAAAAAUUAGCAUGGUCUUACUCUUAUGUCAUUUAACAUAACAUUUUAGUUGUUUUAUUCAUUCUGUAUCAAAGAGUUCAAGUGCUACCAUUAUUACAUUACUACUAAUAAAUAAUUUUCAACCUUAGAACAACAGUCUGAUGUAAGGUGACAUUAAGAAAAAAAACCUCACAUCAAAAUGGAGUUCUUUAUAAUUCCAAACAACUCUGCAGAUCUAACAGUAUUGAAAGAAUAGAGUGGCUUUCUCUUCCUCAAAUGUAAACUACAGACUCAUCCAUUUAAUUCUGCCCAGUAAUUUUCCUUCUGUGUAGAUCUUAUAGAGAGUAUUGUACAAAAUAUUUUUCUUGCAUUACAUAAGGAAACAUUCAACCAACAUCAGUGUGAGUAGCUGAGGGCGGGCGGGCAUCACCCAGCAGUUUGUAUUGACAGCCGUUGCUGUGCAAGGCACAUAACUAUCAGUGAAUGUUGGGCUUUCAUGUCUUUGAAUUAAAAUGCAAUACAGUUGGACCAC